UACGUAGGGGGCAAGCGUUGUCCGGAAUCAUUGGGCGUAAAGAGCGUGUAGGCGGUUCGGUAAGUCGGUUGUGAAAGUCCGGGGCUCAACCCCGGGAGGCGGGUGGAUACUGUCGAGCUAGAGUCCGGAAGAGGCGAGUGGAAUUCCUGGUGUAGCGGUGAAAUGCGCAGAUAUCAGGAGGAACACCAAUGGCGAAGGCAGCUCGCUGGGACGGUACUGACGCUGAGACGCGAAAGCGUGGGGAGCAAACAGG
rnacentral:rRNA from 1 species